AUCUAGUACUUGCCUCAAAUAAUAAACAAUCCCGAUUUUCGGUUGAAAAACAUCCAGUCUUGUUUGAAUUUUUUAAAUGAUUGCCACUGUAAGUGAACUUCAAGCUUACCUAUAUUCACUUUGUAGUCUCAAAGUUGAUGGAAAGUAAA